rnacentral:rRNA from 1 species
AUUGAACGCUGGCGGCAUGCCUUACACAUGCAAGUCGAACGGUAACGCGGGGCAACCCUGGCGACGAGUGGCGGACGGGUGAGUAAUGCUUGGGAAUCUACCCAGUAGCGGGGGACAACCUAGGGAAACUUAGGCUAAUACCGCAUACGACCUACGGGUGAAAGCAGGGGAUCGCAAGACCUUGCACUAUUGGAUGAGCCCAAGUCGGAUUAGCUUGUUGGUGGGGUAACGGCCUACCAAGGCGACGAUCCGUAGCUGGUCUGAGAGGACGAUCAGCCACACUGGGACUGAGACACGGCCCAGACUCCUACGGGAGGCAGCAGUGGGGAAUAUUGGACAAUGGGGGCAACCCUGAUCCAGCAAUGCCGCGUGGAUGAAGAAGGUCUUCGGAUUGUAAAGUCCUUUCGGCGGGGACGAUGAUGACGGUACCCGCAGAAGAAGCCCCGGCUAACUUCGUGCCAGCAGCCGCGGUAAGUCUCGCGUGA